CAAUUCCUCUCCAUUACUCUCCCUUCUUUCUUACAACCUAUUUUAGUUUUAGGAUAAGGCUUUAGGAUUUAAGACAAAGCCUUAUCUAAUCCAAAAAAAGAUUGUGAAGGUCCUAAAAAAGAGGAUUCAAAAAUUUAGAGGAGGUUCUAAGAGGAUCGAGUCAGGUUCUUGGAGAAACCUGACCGAUACAGGGCUAAUCGAGUUUUAAGGGCUAGAACUCUGGAAGCA
rnacentral:lncRNA from 1 species